GAUGAACGCUGGCGGCGUGCCUAAUACAUGCAAGUCGAACGAGUUCUCGUUGAUGAUCGGUGCUUGCACCGAGAUUCAACAUGGAACGAGUGGCGGACGGGUGAGUAACACGUGGGUAACCUGCCCUUAAGUGGGGGAUAACAUUUGGAAACAGAUGCUAAUACCGCAUAGAUCCAAGAACCGCAUGGUUCUUGGCUGAAAGGUGGCGUAAGCUAUCGCUUUUGGAUGGACCCGCGGCGUAUUAGCUAGUUGGUGAGGUAAUGGCUCACCAAGGCGAUGAUACGUAGCCGAACUGAGAGGUUGAUCGGCCACAUUGGGACUGAGACACGGCCCAAACUCCUACGGGAGGCAGCAGUAGGGAAUCUUCCACAAUGGACGCAAGUCUGAUGGAGCAACGCCGCGUGAGUGAAGAAGGCUUUCGGGUCGUAAAACUCUGUUGUUGGAGAAGAAUGGUCGGCAGAGUAACUGUUGUCGGCGUGACGGUAUCCAACCAGAAAGCCACGGCUAACUACGUGCCAGCAGCCGCGGUAAUACGUAGGUGGCAAGCGUUAUCCGGAUUUAUUGGGCGUAAAGCGAGCGCAGGCGGUUUUUUAAGUCUGAUGUGAAAGCCCUCGGCUUAACCGAGGAAGCGCAUCGGAAACUGGGAAACUUGAGUGCAGAAGAGGACAGUGGAACUCCAUGUGUAGCGGUGAAAUGCGUAGAUAUAUGGAAGAACACCAGUGGCGAAGGCGGCUGUCUGGUCUGUAACUGACGCUGAGGCUCGAAAGCAUGGGUAGCGAACAGGAUUAGAUACCCUGGUAGUCCAUGCCGUAAACGAUGAAUGCUAGGUGUUGGAGGGUUUCCGCCCUUCAGUGCCGCAGCUAACGCAUUAAGCAUUCCGCCUGGGGAGUACGACCGCAAGGUUGAAACUCAAAGGAAUUGACGGGGGCCCGCACAAGCGGUGGAGCAUGUGGUUUAAUUCGAAGCAACGCGAAGAACCUUACCAGGUCUUGACGUCUUUUGAUCACCUGAGAGAUCAGGUUUCCCCUUCGGGGGCAAAAUGACAGGUGGUGCAUGGUUGUCGUCAGCUCGUGUCGUGAGAUGUUGGGUUAAGUCCCGCAACGAGCGCAACCCUUAUGACUAGUUGCCAGCAUUUAGUUGGGCACUCUAGUAAGACUGCCGGUGACAAACCGGAGGAAGGUGGGGAUGACGUCAAAUCAUCAUGCCCCUUAUGACCUGGGCUACACACGUGCUACAAUGGAUGGUACAACGAGUUGCGAGACCGCGAGGUCAAGCUAAUCUCUUAAAGCCAUUCUCAGUUCGGACUGUAGGCUGCAACUCGCCUACACGAAGUCGGAAUCGCUAGUAAUCGCGGAUCAGCACGCCGCGGUGAAUACGUUCCCGGGCCUUGUACACACCGCCCGUCACACCAUGAGAGUUUGUAACACCCGAAGCCGGUGGCGUAACCCUUUUAGGGAGCGAGCCGUCUAAGGUGGGACAAAUGAUUAGGGUG
rnacentral:rRNA from 2 species